GGAGAAGUAUCGAAGUGGCCAUAACGAGCCGCACUCGAAAUGCGGUUGUCCUUCGGGGCACAUGGGUUCGAAUCCCAUCUUCUCCGCCA
rnacentral:tRNA from 1 species